rnacentral:rRNA from 1 species
UACGUAGGGGGCAAGCGUUGUCCGGAUUCAUUGGGCGUAAAGAGCUCGUAGGCGGCUUAGUAAGUCGGGUGUGAAACCUCCAGGCUCAACCUGGAGACGCCACCCGAUACUGCUGUGGCUAGAGUCCGGUAGGGGAGCGUGGAAUUCCUGGUGUAGCGGUGAAAUGCGUAGAGAUCAGGAAGAACAUCGGUGGCGAAGGCGCUCUGCUGGACCAUAACUGACACUCAGGGACGAAAGCUAGGGGAGCGAAUGGG